AUUGAACGCUAGCGGGAUGCCUUACACAUGCAAGUCGAACGGAGUGGCGAACGGGUGAGUAAUGUAUCGGAACGUGCCCAGUAGCGGGGGAUAACUACGCGAAAGCGUAGCUAAUACCGCAUACUAUUGGAGCUGCCGAUAGCUGAUUAGCUGGUUGGUGAGGUAACGGCCCACCAAGGCGACGAUCCGUAGCUGGUUUAAGCGGACGACCAGCCACACUGGGACUGAGACACGGCCCAGACUCCUACGGUAGGCAGAAGUGGGGAAUUUUGGACAAUGGGGGAAACCCUGAUCCAGCCAUCCCGCAUGUGCGAUGAAGGCCUUCGGGUUGUAAAGCACUUUUGGCAGGAAAGCGGUACCUGCAGAGUAAGCACCGGCUAACUACGUGCCAGCAGCCGCGGUAAUAC
rnacentral:rRNA from 1 species